AGCUUUAUACCUCCCCACAUGUCACGCAUCAACCCCACUCUCGUCUUCACACCCAGUCACACUGUUCAAAAGUACCUCAAGUGAACCGUAUCUGCGAACAACUGGAUAACUGAGGAUUGUUUCCACCAAUGGAUGUCCUUCUAAUGAAAACUUGAUGACCGCUUAGAGUGUACUAGGAGUUUGACUUCAAGGGACUGCCUGUAACUUUGACACCGAGCCAGAGGGAUUUUAAACCUUUCUUUCUAAGAAGACAUGGCUGACGUUGCCGAAAACUCCAAUACGACCGUGCUAAUCCUCUUUUUCUGCCUCUUUGGCUUAAUCUUACUGCUAUUUUUCUUGUACAAGAAGUUAAACAAGGACGCCAAUGGAAAAUAUACCAUCCGACGCAUGGUGUAUAAGAAAGGAGGGGUCAGGGACCGGGUCAGAGGUGUAGCCUUGGCUCUGGAGACACGUCUCGGAGUCCAGCUGUGGCCUCGCAGUGAAUCUGACAACGAAGACGGAGAAGAAAUGCAGGAAGUCCAAGAUGAAGAGCGACAUGUUGAGGAUGGUUCUAGCGAGGGGAGUGCUCGUGAAGAAGAUGACCAGGAAGAGGAGGAGGAGAGAUCUGGAGAAGGAGAAGACGAUUCAGAUGAUAACUCAAGUAUGGAGGGUUCCGAGGCAGGAGAAGAUGCUCGGCUAACAUAUCAACAAACGGCAAAGGAAGAGCUAGUAGAGGAAAAGGAGAAGAACGACGGAAAUAGGGAAUGUAAAGGUGAAGCAAGUGGAGGGGCUGGUAUGUUGAUAGAUUUAAAGCAGUUCUCUGGGAGUGUCACCUGGUCCGAAGGAGGUGUCUGCAGGGACGGUGACGUAACUGCACUGUGAGAAAAGAUUAACAAAACAGGAAAUAGAAGAGGGCUCGGAGUACAGUUUUAACCAGAGGGGUUGAGUCAGGAUGUUAAAAAAACUACGUCAGGCUCAAGUCCCCCAAUGAAUGAAUAGCUGCACUCUGCUUCUUUUUUGUGAGCCAAAGAGAAGUCAAGCAAUCUAAAAAUACUGUGUUCAUUUGAAUACAUCUAUUUUAUGUAAGAUUUUAAGAUAAUGUUUGCAAAAAUGCCACAAAAACACCAUAAAAACACAAAGACAUGUUGGUCCUCACUAGUAUUUUAAGAGUGUGUCUUAUGGCAUCCUGAUAAAAGAGUGGCUGAUGAAUGUAUCUGUUGUUAAUGUGAAGGACUACCCUGGAUUAGAUUUUAAAUGUCAAAGACUUUUCAAAUGUUGUAUUGUCACAGAAAUAUAUCACAAGCUGUACAUUGUAGAUUGUGGCAUCUGGUUUUUAUUGGCUUAUAAUGUUUUUUUUUUAAUAAACAUGGAAAUUUAAAAACCUUAA